CACGUAGGCACCAAGCGUUGUCCGGAAUUAUUGGGCGUAAAGAGCUCGUAGGCGGCCUGUUGCGUCCGCUGUGAAAUCCCGGGGCUCAACCCCGGGCCUGCAGUGGAUACGGGCUGGCUAGAGGCAGGCAGGGGAGAACGGAAUUCCUGGUGGUAGCGGUGAAAUGCGCAGAUAUCAGGAGGAACACCGGUGGCGAAGGCGGUUCUCUGGGCCUGUACUGACGCUGAGGAGCGAAAGCGUGGGGAGCGAACAGG
rnacentral:rRNA from 1 species